AAUGAACGCUGGCGGCGCGCCUAAUACAUGCAAGUCGAGCGAGAAGACGUAGCAAUACGUUUGUAAAGCGGCGAACGGGUGAGGAAUACAUGGGUAACCUACCCUCGAGUGGGGAAUAACUAGCCGAAAGGUUAGCUAAUACCGCGUACGCUUCUUGGACUUCGGUUCAGGGAGGAAAGCGAUACCGUGGGUAUCGCGCUCUUGGAUGGGCUCAUGUCCUAUCAGCUUGUUGGUGAGGUAACGGCUCACCAAGGCUUCGACGGGUAGCUGGUCUGAGAGGACGAUCAGCCACACUGGCACUGCGACACGGGCCAGACUCCUACGGGAGGCAGCAGUAAGGAAUAUUGCGCAAUGGGCGAAAGCCUGACGCAGCGACGCCGCGGUGGGGGAU
rnacentral:rRNA from 1 species